AGGAAUCCAUACGAGUAAUGUAUGUACCUCUCAGCUUCCCCUACAAUGAAUCCAUAGGCCGGCCAUGUGUAACUUCUCGAAAUCAGUGAGUCCUUUCCGAGCAAAGUAAUGCUCCAUCCAUCCACGAAAUCCACUGCCUCAAGUCACGACAUCCGGAAACACUGGAACCACAACGAUUCCCCUGUCUCCACAGAAUAGAAUCGCUUCCGCUCCGUCGUCGUCUUAUCAUUUCGAGACUUCUUAUCGCAAUCAAUCCUCAGAUACUCCAAAUCGUCUAGUAAUUUUGUCGCAGAGACGGCUCUCUCUCUGCAUCUCUGAGCUUGGUGUCACCUCGAAAUCACCUCUGA
rnacentral:lncRNA from 1 species